AUAGGUACGCACUACAGCUACCUACUUAGAGCAUACAUCGCUAAUAGCC
rnacentral:misc_RNA from 1 species